ACACUCCGUGUCCCUGGAGCACUGAUAUAGUCAUGUGUGCUUACGAUGUUAGUUCUGAGUAUUAAUUCCAGUGGCUUUCGCUCAUAAGGCAGCCAAGUUGGGAAAGCGAUUAACCCAGCUAAGUUAUUUUCACCUUUUAAUAACAUUGGCAUCUGUGAGCCUCCUCUUUCAAAAAGAAUCAUAAUAGUGAGUUUCUCAAUGAUGUAUGCUAAGGAAGAACUCCCAGGUUAUCUGUUUCCAUUCUGUAUUCUGGCUAUGGCUGAGAAAGGUCACAUUUGAAAAUCCUGUUUAUGGAGAGUCACAGGAAAUGUUCCCCGAUUUACAAUUUUAAUGGUGCUUGCCAGAGCUCACCUGAAGAAAGCAUUAUUCAAAUAAAAUUUAAAGGAAAUAUUUUUGUUCUGGGCUUAGACACAUAAAGAAAUACUACUGUACAUUUUUUU